UCAAGCGUGAGGUAAGAGCAUUUGGUGGAUGCCUUGGCAUGUGCAGGCGAUGAAGGACGUGGCACGCUGCGAUAAGCGUCGGGGAGAUGUGAGCAAUCUUUGAUCCGGCGAUUUCCGAAUGGGGAAACCCACCCUCACCAUUUCCUUUCGAUUGUUUUCGGACAGUCGGAAAGAGGUGGAUAGGGUAUCACCAGACUGAAUACAUAGGUUUGGUGAAGCGAACCCGGGGAACUGAAACAUCUCAGUACCCGGAGGAAAAGACAUCAACAGAGAUUCCCGUAGUAGUGGCGAGCGAACCGGGACCAGGCCAGUGCCUUCAUUUCAACUAGCAAAACACUUUGGAAAGAGUGGCCAUAGCGGGUGACAGCCCCGUAUGCGAAAGUGAUGAUGAAGGACUCGAGUAGGGCGGGACACGUGAAAUCCUGUCUGAACAUGGGGGGACCACCCUCCAAGCCUAAAUACUCGCACAUGACCGAUAGCGAACACAGUACCGUGAGGGAAAGGUGAAAAGCACCCCGAUUAGGGGAGUGAAACAGUACCUGAAACCGGAUGCUUACAAGCAGUUGGAGCCCCAUAGGGGGUGACAGCGUACCUCUUGCAUAAUGGGUCAGUGACUUAAUCUACCAUGCAAGCUUAAGCCGUUAGGUGUAGGCGCAGCGAAAGCGAGUCUGAAUAGGGCGACUGAGUAUGAUGGAUUAGACCCGAACCCCGGCGAUCUAGGCAUGGCCAGGUUGAAGGUGCGGUAACACGCACUGGAGGACCGAACCGGUGAAUGUUGAAAAAUUCUCGGAUGAGCUGUGUUUAGGGGUGAAAGGCCAAUCAAGCCGGGAAAUAGCUGGUUCUCCGCGAAAUCUAUUGAGGUAGAGCGUCGGAUGUAUGCCGAUGGGGGUAGAGCACUGGAUGGGCUAGGGCUGCGCGAGCGGUACCAAACCUAACCAAACUCCGAAUACCAUCGAGUCUUAUCCGGCAGACAGACGGCGGGUGCUAAGGUCCGUCGUCAAAAGGGAAACAGCCCUAACCUACAGCUAAGGUCCCCAAGUCAUAUCUAAGUGGGAAAGCAUGUGGGAAUCCCAAAACAACCAGGAGGUUGGCUUAGAAGCAGCCAUCCUUUAAAGAAAGCGUAACAGCUCACUGGUCUAAACAAGGGUUCCUGCGGCGAAGAUGUAACGGGGCUAAAGAUAUGCACCGAAGCUUAGGGUUCAGANNUUANUCUGAGCGGUAGCGGAGCGUUCCGUAAGCGAGUGAAGGCGAAGGGUAACCGACGCUGGACGUAUCGGAAGUGCGAAUGCUGACAUGAGUAGCGACAAAGAGGGUGAGAUGCCCUCUCGCCGAAAGACCAAGGGUUCCUGCGCAACGCUAAUCGGCGCAGGGUUAGCCGGCCCCUAAGACGAGCCCGAAGGGGGUAGUCGAUGGGAACCACGUAAAUAUUCGUGGGCCUGGAGAUGUGUGACGGAUCGUGGAAGUUGUUCGACCUUAUUGGAUUGGUCGGGCAGCCAAGCGGUUCCAGGAAAUAGCCUCUCCGUAUAGACCGUACCCGAAACCGACACAGGUGGUCAGGUAGAGUAUACCAAGGCGCUUGAGAGAAGUAUCCUGAAGGAACUCGGCAAAUUGCCUCCGUACCUUCGGAAGAAGGAGGCCCCAUAUCGACGCAAGUCUUUGUGGGGGGCACAGGCCAGGGGGUAGCGACUGUUUAGCAAAAACACAGCACUCUGCUAAGUCGGCUUCAAGACGACGUAUAGGGUGUGACGCCUGCCCGGUGCUCGAAGGUUAAGAGGAGGAGUGCAAGCUCCGAAUUGAAGCCCGAGUAAACGGCGGCCGUAACUAUAACGGUCCUAAGGUAGCGAAAUUCCUUGUCGGGUAAGUUCCGACCUGCACGAAUGGCGUAACGACUUCCCCACUG
rnacentral:rRNA from 1 species